rnacentral:rRNA from 1 species
UACGUAGGGGGCAAGCGUUGUCCGGAUUUAUUGGGCGUAAAGAGCUCGUAGGUGGUUCGGUAAGUCGGAUGUGAAAUCUCCAGGCUCAACCUGGAGGGGUCAUUCGAUACUGCCGUGACUAGAGGUCGGUAGGGGAGUGUGGAAUUCCUGGUGGAGCGGUGGAAUGCGUAGAGAUCCGGAAGAACACCGGUGGCGAAGGCGGCCUGCUGGGCAGUGGCUGACACUGAGGCGCGACAGCGUGGGGAGCAAACAGG